rnacentral:lncRNA from 10 species
CCAGAGAAUAAAGAGAUUGGUAAAUUCAACAAGAAAUAACUACAGUUUUUAAUAAGUGAACUUCUCUUCAUCAAAAGACACCAUAAACCAAGCCAAAAAAAACAAGCCAUCUUUUGGGAGGAGAUGUUUGUAACACAUAUCACUGAUCAAGAAUUAGUUUUCACUAUCUAAAAAGAAGGUAGGACACCAUUAGAAAAAAGGCAAGCAACUGAAUAGAAAAAUGGGCGAGAGGAGGUGACAGGCAGCUGGCAGAGAAGAGAACCUGAAUGGUCAGCACACCCAUGAAAGGGGAAACCAAAUUAAAACUGCAAAGUGGAUGAACAAAAUAUAAACAUCAGUCUGGAGAAGGAAAAGUUCAUUUCUGCAGAACACCAGCUCAGCGGAGGUGAAAUGAUAGCGUUAAGAAUGCACCAUUUUGCAACCAUUGAUGGGAUCGUUGAUUGAGACAAGGAUUGUCACUGGACGCCCAAGUCGCAGGUGAAAGUUAACGGGGGUCAGAAUGUUCAGUUUCGAAGAACCACCUGAUUGAUUACUUAUAAAGUUAAAAGGGUGUCUUGAAAAUAGAGAACCCCAGCCAGGCACGGUGGCUCACGCCUGUAAUCCCAACACUUUGGAAGGCCGAGGUGGCUGGAUCACUUGGUCAGGAGUUCGAGACCAGCCUGGCCAACAUGGU